rnacentral:rRNA from 1 species
AACGAACGCUGGCGGCAUGCUUAACACAUGCAAGUCGAACGAGACCUUCGGGUCUAUUUGGGCACGUCGACUUAACGCCGGGUAACCUGCCUGUAGGUUCGGUGUAAUUCAGAUAGAUUUAAGCUCAGGCCGCUUGGUCUCUUCGCGCCAAAGAGUUAUCGCCUUUAGAUGGGCGUGCGUUGGAUUAGGUGGUUGGUGGGGUACAGGCCUACUAUGGCGACGAUACAUAGCUGGUCUGAGAGGAUGAUCAGACACAGUGGGACUGAGACCCGGCCCAGACUCCUACGGGAGGAAGGAGUGGGGAAUAUUGGAGAACGGGAGACAGACUGAUCAAGCAAUGGCGCGUGAGUGAUGAAGGCGUUAGGGUUGUAAAGUUCUUUUACCAGAGAUGAUAAUGAAAGUAUCGGGAGAAUAAGCUCCGGCUAAAUCCGUG